GACGAACGCUGGCGGCGUGCCUAAUACAUGCAAGUUGAGCGCUGAAGGUUGGUACUUGUACCAACUGGAUGAGCAGCGCACGGGUGAGUAACGCGUGUGGCAUCUGCCUUUGAUCGGGGGACAACAUUUGGAAACGAAUGCUAAUACCGCAUAAAAACUUUAAACACAAGUUUUAAGUUUGAAAGAUGCAAUUGCAUCACUCAAAGAUGAUCUCGCGUUGUAUUAGCUAGUUGGUGAGGUAAAGGCUCACCAAGGCGAGGAUACAUAGCCGACCUGAGAGGGUGAUCGGCCACAUUGGGACGGAGACACGCCACAAACUCAUACGGGAGGCAGCAGUAGGGAAUCUUCGGCAAUGGACGAAAGUCUGACCGAGCAACGCCGCGUGAGUGAAGAAGGUUGUCGGAUCGUAAAACUCUGUUGGUAGAGAAGAACGUUGGUGAGAGUGGAAAGCUCAUCAAGUGACGGUAACUACCCAGAAAGGGACGGCUAACUACGUG
rnacentral:rRNA from 1 species